rnacentral:rRNA from 1 species
CUACGGGUGGCUGCAGUGGGGAAUAUUACACAAUGGAGGAAACUCUGAUGCAGCAACGCCGCGUGGAGGAUGACACUUUUCGGAGCGUAAACUCCUUUUAUAUAGGAAGAAGAUGACGGUACUAUAUGAAUAAGCGCCGGCUAACUCCGUGUCAGCAGCCGCGGUAAUACGGAGGGCGCAAGCGUUACUCGGAAUCACUGGGCGUAAAGAGCGUGUAGGCGGAUUAAAAAGUCAGAAGUGAAAUCCUAUAGCUUAACUAUAGAACUGCUUCUGAAACUCUUAAUCUAGAAUAUGGGAGAGGUAGAUGGAAUUUCUGGUGUAGGGGUAAAAUCCGUAGAGAUCAGAAGGAAUACCGAUUGCGAAGGCGAUCUACUAGAACAUUAUUGACGCUGAGACGCGAAAGCGUGGGGAGCAAACAGGAUUAGAUACCCUGGUAGUC